GGCUAAUUGAAGUUUUAGAGCAUGAUAAAUUUCGGAUCAAGUUGUUUCCUCCUCCUGUUGGUGAAGGUUUAUCUUAUGAGGCUUCCUGUGCAGACUUGCGACCUUCCUUGGAUUGGUCUCCAGAGCAUGGUUGGACAGUGCCUAUAUCUGGGAAUGAAGAUUGUCACUCUUGUGCUCGGUUAGUCAAACCUUUGAAUCAAGGGGGCUUUGUGGACUUGACAGCUCAUACAGUCGAUGAAGGGAGAAACAAGCAUAAUACUGAAUUUUCUUCUCAUACUUCAGCUAGUUGUAUACCACCUCCAGAAAGGUCAGAGGAUGCUUCAGCUGAAGGUACAAGAGAUACUGUUGGGAAAGACUGUCACGAUGAUAAUAGUCCAUCAAAAAAGUUGAGAACUGAUAGCAGCAUUUCUUUGAAUUCUAUGUGUUCUGAUACUAUAGAAGCAGCAAUUUUGGACUUAGAGGAGUUGGUGAACCGGGUUAAAUGGAUCAAGAAUAUCUUAGAGUUUGGGAUGCCUUUUCCAAAUUCUGUGCAGCCUUCUUGGAAAUUUCUGGAGCAC
rnacentral:misc_RNA from 1 species